GGGCGAAUAGCUCAGUUGGUCAGAGCGUCCGGUUUACACCCGGAAGGUCGGGGGUUCGAGCCCCUCUUCGCCCA
rnacentral:tRNA from 1 species